rnacentral:rRNA from 1 species
UACGUAGGUGGCAAGCGUUGUCCGGAUUUACUGGGCGUAAAGAGCGCGCAGGCGGUCGUUCAAGUCGCGUGUGAAAGCCCCCGGCUCAACUGGGGAGGGUCACGCGAUACUGAUCGACUCGAAGGCAGGAGAGGGUAGUGGAAUUCCCGGUGUAGUGGUGAAAUGCGUAGAUAUCGGGAGGAACACCGGUGGCGAAGGCGGCGACCUGGGUAGAUACGUGACGCUGAGGUGCGAAAGCGUGGGGAGCAAACAGGG